rnacentral:tRNA from 1 species
GGGAUGGCUCAGUGGUUAAGAGCACUGGAUGUUCUUCCAGAGGACGUAGGUUCAAUUCCAGCACCCA